rnacentral:rRNA from 1 species
GACGAACGCUGGCGGCGUGCUUAACACAUGCAAGUCGAGCGGAAAGGCCCUUUCCGGGGUACUCGAGCGGCGAACGGGUGAGUAACACGUGAGUAAUCUGCCCUGGACUCUUGGAUAGCCACCGGAAACGGUGAUUAAUACCGGAUAUGUUACCUUGCCGCAUGGUGGGGUGUGGAAAGUUUUUUGGGUCCAGGAUGUGCUCUCGGCCUGUCAGCUGGUUGAUGAGGUAAUGGCUCACCAAGGCUUUGACGGGUAGCCGGCGUGAGAGGGUGACCGGUCACACUGGGACUGAGACACGGCCCAGACUCCUACGGGAGGCAGCAGUGGGGAAUAUUGGACAAUGGGCGGAAGCAUGAUCCAGCAACGCCGCGUGAGGGAUGACGGCCUUCGGGUUGUAAACCUCUUUCAGUACCGACGAAGCGUGAGUGACGGUAGGUACAGAAGAAGGACCGGCCAACUACGUGCCAGCAGCCGCAGUAAAAC